rnacentral:lncRNA from 1 species
UGCAUAUGGAAGUUCCCAGGCUAAGGGUCUAAUCAGAGUUGUAGCUGCCGCCCUACCCCAGAGCCACAGCAAUGCCAGAUCCAAGCACAUCUGUGACCCACAGCUCAUGGCAAGGCCAGAUCCUUAACCCACUGAGCAAGACCAGGGAUUGGACCCGCGACCUCAUGGUUCCUAGUCAGACUCGUUUCCACUGCGCCACGAUGGGAACUCCUAUGUAACAUCUUCUUAAUCCAUUCAUCUGUCUAAGGACAUUCAGGUUAUUUCCAUGUCUUGGCUGCUGUGACUAGUGCUGCAAUGAACAUAGCAGGCCAUCUGUCUUUUUCAAGGAAAGUUUUGUCUGGAUAUAUGCCAAGGGCGGGAUGGCUGGGUCAAAAGAUCAUUCUACAUUUAGUUUUGUUGGGGUACCUCCAUACUGUCCUCCACAGUGGCUGCACCAGCCUACAUUCCCACCAGCAGUGCAGGAGGGAUCCCUUUCCUCCACACCCCCCCGCAUCUGUCAUUUGUGGACUCAUUAAUGAUGGCCAUUCUGACUGGUGCGAGGGGUAGUUUUGAGUUGCAUUUCUCUCGUGAUCAGUGGUGCUGAGCAUUUUUUCAUGUGUCUGUUGGCCAUCUGUGUAUCUUCUCUGGAGAAAUGUCUAGUCAGGUCUUUUGGCCAUUUUUCGAUUGUGUUGUUGGCUUUUUUGCUGUGGAGCUGUACAAGUUGUUUGUAUAUUCUAGAGAUUAAGCCCUUGUCAGUUACAUCGUUUGAAACUAUUUUCUCCCAUUCUGUAAGUUAUCUUUUCAUUUUUUUUUAAUGGUUUCCUUUGCUGUGCAAAAGCUUGUCAGUUUGAUUAUGUCCCAUUGGUUUAUUUUUGCUUUUAUUUCUGUUGCCUUGGGAGACUGACGUGAGAAAACAUUUGUAAGGUUGAUGUCAGAGAAUGUUUUGCCCGUGUUCUCUUCCAGGAGUUUGAUGGUGUCUUGCCUUAUGUUGAAGUCUUUAAGUCAUUUUGAGUUUACUUUUGUGCAUGGUGUGAGGGUGCAUUCCGGUUUCAUUGAUUUGCAGGCAGCUGUUUAGUUUUCCCAGCACCACUUGCUGAAAAGACUGUCUUUUUACCAUUUUAUAUUCUUGCCUCAUUUGGCCUGGCUUCUCGACCCUGAGUCUGGAUCCUGCAUGGCGGGGUCUUCGCAGCUCAGGACCCUGCUCCUGGUACUUCCUGAAGAGGAGUUUUCAGCAACACGAACUUUGAUGGGUUAGGUCAGACUCCAGGCUGGGCAGUCACAGGGGCGAGAGCUGGGGGUGGUCCUGGCCUUCACUUGGGCUUCGGAGACCACCUUAGCAAGGGCACUGAGUGUCCACCCAGCCCCUCUGCACCCCUUCUUCCCUGUUACCACUUUAUCCAUGGCUUCUAGACUGUGGAAUCCUUGACUGCCUGUGCCAGGCUGACCACUCACUGUGUGAGGGCUUACCUGAGAAGCUCAGGGACAGCUUGGUGGCUGCCCAAAGUCCUUAAAGGUUCGGAAGCUUCACCAUGUAGAUCUACGAAGCACCGGCUAUUUCUGUGCCAAAUUGCUAAUUCACCGAAGGAAGCAAAUUCAGGACCUGGAGGGGGCUCUCCCCAAAGGCUGCCCCCAUGGGACGGACAUCUGCAUGGCUGGCCACCACCCCCUCGUCCUGCGGGCUCACAGUGCAGAGGUUCAUGGAACAGCCUGGCUCUGAGAAGGAAGAGCCCGCCUUGAGCUCUGCGCUGAGCAUUUGACAGCCCUGGACAUCUUGUCUGAUCCUCCGAUUGUGCCCAUUUUUCAGAUGAACGGGCACAGAGAGGUUAGAGAACUUACCUGAUGUCACACAGCAGCGAAUGAGAUGGCACAGAAGCCAUCAGAACAGGACAGGUGCAGCCAGGGUACCUGGCCAGGGGCAAUGAGAUAGCAAGAGGGCAGCCCCGCUUACCCGCAGUGGCCAAGAGCAUCGCAUGCGUGCUGCAGGUGGGCUAGGCUGAAGUGACAUGGACAAGACCCUGCUUGUGACCCCUCCCCUACUCUACUGCCCCCUCCCCAACUCGUGCCUCCAGAAGCUGGCUGCACCUCCACUGCCCAGCCAGUUUUCCUGCUGGAGGAGACCCUCUCCUGGCAGCCUGGGCAGAGCACCUCUGGGGCCCCAUCGCUGGCAUGUGGCAGCUGUCCUCUUUCUGACCCCACGGCCAUGUAACCUGACCCUGUGCCGUCCCCCAGCCACACUCACCCCUUCCUCCCCUUCUGUCUGGUGCCGAGCCUGCAGAGGUGCCCCCAGGCACCCAGGUUCCUGUCUGGAGGGGCCACAGCCCUCAAAGCCACAUUCCACAAGCCGAGGAGGCGCCCCUGCUGGGCCAGCAGGUGAGCACCCCUCGGGCUCCCCCUCCAGCCACGCCAUCAUUCAGAGCUCUCGUUCUCCCUCUAAUUAGAGCUGGAUUAGGGUUGGUGCAAGGGAACUCUGCUCACCAACAAAGAGGGCUUAGACUCAGGGUAGUGGUGGGCAGGUUGCAGCAGGGCGGCCGGCCCCUUCCUGGGGCAGCCCCUCAGCCAUUGCCCUUCCCCGCCUCUCAGCCUCAUGGACCCAGCACAGCCCCAAGGAUCAGGGCACCGAUCCUGGCCUCCUCUGUAGGGCCCUCGAUGCCUCCUGGGCUGAGGCCCAUCAGACAUCCCAGGGGACCCCUGAGGCUGGACAGCUCAGGGUGGCGGUGCCUGCUGCUUCUGGAGCAGGUGGCUGGACGCUCUGGAGGUGGGGUCUGCAGAGCACCCUGUGCAGCUGGUUCCAGGCUUUCAGCCAGAAUGCAGCCUGCUCCUGUGGACCAAGCCACUGAACAGAACACAGAGGGUUCCAGCACCCCCACCCAUCCUUCUGUGGGAGAGGCAGCCAUCACCCCUGACUUGGGGUUCCUGCUGGCCUCGUCCCUCUGGGCUCCCCUGAGCAGGUGUGGGCUGCAUCUGCGGGAGGCCUUCCCAAGGGUCAGCUGGGGCCACCAGGGUCACAGGAGGCUUCCUAGGUCCCAGAGUGGGCCUCUCCUGUUUGUGCAGGGGAAGGCGUGGCCUCUGGGACCCGACUCCCCUUCCUGCUGUCUCUGGAGAGUCUGCCAGUGCCACCUGGUUGGGGCUCACCCAAGCUGGGCUAGAACACAGGAUAUGCAGCCAGAGCUGUUGGGAAGCACCCCCGGCGGGUGCGGGUGGGGUCUGGAUGGGAUGGGCAGACCCUACCCCCACUCACUUGCCUUCAGGCUCUCUGACCCUCUCCUCGGGUGAUCAGAACAGGCAGGUUCGGGCUCAGCCCUAUCCUGAGAGCAGGGCAAGUCCAAGCUCUGGGAAGGGGGCCCUGAAGCUGGGGCCCUGCUCGCUGUCCUCCGGGCACAUUCAGGGCAGUCUCAGGUGCCCUUCCAGAGUUUCUGGGGCCUCUCUCUUAGCAGGGCCUACCCAGAACUUCUCUUUCAUGUUGCAUAUUUUAAAAUGUCUCCAUUACGGGCUGACCACAGGCUGAGACGCAGCACUCCUGCCCCCACAUGGGUUUGUAGGGUCCCCAUUGUGCAUUAGGGUGUCAGAAUCCCAGAAGAGGUGGCAGCCUGCCAGCCCCGAGACUUCCCCGUCCCGGAGUGCUUGAUGGCUAUCACUUCUCCAGCUAUGCAGCCCGAGUUGGCUGUGCCGGCGCCCAGCCUGUCCGUCACCUCCUGGGGGCAGGGGUGAAGUGUCCCCAGGAGGCCAGCUGCGGGGGUGGGCAGAACCAUGUGCUGGGCGUGCAGCGCGGGCAGAGGCGCGACGUGGCUGGCCUCUGAGGGCUGUGGUGGGUGGGGUGCAGCCCGAGCCUUCUCGAGCUGAGUCACGAUCCGGCUGCAGGAAGCCUGGCCACAUGACCUCCAAACUGAGGCAACUCUGGCUUUUUGCUGUGUGCAAGCAUAGUUGCUGCUGCUCCUGGAAGCAAAGGGAGUGGAGUUUCACUGAGCCUCCCCUUCCGAGAACAGACGUCAUCUCUGGGGCACUUCAGGGUCACAUGAAGGGCAGGAACGUGGCCACCUGCAGGCACUGGCGCACCCCUGAGCAGGGGACAAGGCUCGGACCUGUCUGAGCAUCUUAGGCUGAGGAAGAGAUGAAGCUUACAGGUUCGGGAAGGUCCAGGAGCUGCUCACAUACCCAGACACACACACCUGGUACACACACGGCUGGAUGCACCCGACACACUCACCACACUUGUACUCACCCACAGAGAGCACACCCCUGCACACUCACAGACACCCACGCCAGCACUGCACAUGCCCGCAGCACGGGGCCACCGGCUGAAGACUGAGGGCCCCAGAUGGACCUGGACCCCACGACCUGGUCAAGAGGUGGCAGGAACAUGCCCAAUACAAGGUCCGGCCGGCUCGGCAGUGCAGGGCCGCGAGGUGUGUCCAGACCUGAGCCUCGACCUUUCAUCCGGGAAACUGGCACCCGGGCCCACCAGGUUGUCUAAGGGGAUCUGCCCCCCCAAGCGUCAGCACGGGGUGUGCGUGGAAGGAUUGCCAGGGCACCGGCCUCUGCGUGGGACGCCCUCCCGCGCUGCAGCCUGAGCCCUCGCUCUGAGCCCACACUCCCCAGCCAGCGCGGAGCCCCGGAGCCCUUGGCAACCCCCACUGAGGAAGCCCAGCCCGCCGGUCCCCUGCAGCGCCACCUACCGGCCGCAGGGAGACUCCGCCGGCCACCAGACUCGGGAGCCCCGAGCUGCAGGACAGGCUCAACCAGGGGGUGGGGCACAGGCUGGGAGAGCCAGGGAACUGGCCCCCGAUUUCUAGAGGGUCAGAAAGGGCAGAGGCAAAGCUUUGGUGCCAGGAGCCAGGCUCUCUUCCCAGAGUUACUCUUGGAAGUGGGUGAGUUCAGGAGGGCUGGAUUUUGAGCCUUCCAACCCUGCCCCCGCCCCAGCUGCUCCCUCUGCAGGCCCCAGAAUUGAGGCUUCACCUUGAUAAAGCAGGGUCCCAUGGGAUGGGACAGAAGAUCCUAUGGGCACGCCAGGAGCUCUGGUCCACAAGUUGACCCCUGGCAGGACACCCUAAGACAGUGAACAGGCUACAGAGGGCAGAAAAGAAUAUUUGGGGGAAACUGCCGUGAGUUGCGUGUGGCCUACACGUGUGUACCUCGAAUUCCACUGGAGACAGUGCAUUACUCUUGCACCGAGCUGAACCACCUCUCUGGCUCUGGGCUUUUGUGUUCCCACUGCCUGAACCCCCACAGCCACCUGAUCAGCCUCAGGAGCCCCUACAGACCCAGGUGACACCCCCCUCCUCCACCUCCCCGUCCCGGCCUUGCCCCUUGGUCACUCAGGAAAACAGUGUCAUUCUCUCCAAAAUCCGACUCUCCCUGAAGUCCGCAGGGUGCAGGUGUGACAGCUCACCUAAGACAUAGAUUCCACUCCGCGGCCGGUCUCCAGUCUCCAGGACGCCUGCUACUGCUUGGCACUUGGUCAAGUCCAUCUCAACUCAUUAUUCACACAAGUAGUUUCUCAACCCAGCCCCAGAGAGGGGGUUUUUCCCUCCUCUGGGGUGCCCCUUGGGGCCGAAAAUCCCAGAUCUUCCCCUGGUGCUGCCGUUUGCUUCUCUGACGGUUUCCCUGCUCUUUGGUUCUAAUCAAGACUUGCUUGCCACUCAGGUUACUGGUUGGUGUUUCCCCCUCUCCUGCCAGCUAGUCCCCCAGAGAGAACCAUCUCACCUCGCUGAAGGCUGGGACGCACUU